rnacentral:rRNA from 1 species
AGAGUUUGAUCCUGGCUCAGGAUGAACGCUGGCGGCGUGCCUAACACAUGCAAGUCGAGCGAUCUUCUUCGGAAGAGAGCGGCGGACGGGUGAGUAACGCGUGGGUAACCUGCCUCAUACACAUGGAUAACAUACCGAAAGGUAUGCUAAUACAAGAUGAUAUAAGAGAUUCGCAUGGAUUUCUUAUCAAAGCUCCGGCGGUAUGAGAUGGACCCGCGUCUGAUUAGCUAGUUGGUAAGGUAACGGCUUACCAAGGCGACGAUCAGUAGCCGACCUGAGAGGGUGAUCGGCCACAUUGGAACUGAGACACGGUCCAAACUCCUACGGGAGGCGGCAGUGGGGAAUAUUGCACAAUGGGCGAAAGCCUGAUGCAGCAACGCCGCGUGAGCGAUGAAGGCCUUCGGGUCGUAAAGCUCUGUCCUCAAGGAGGAUAAUGACGGUACUUGAGGAGGAAGCCCCGGCUAACUACGUGCCAGCAGCCGCGGUAAUACGUAGGGGGCUAGCGUUAUCCGGAUUUACUGGGCGUAAAGGGUGCGUAGGUGGUUUCUUAAGUCAGGAGUGAAAGGCUACGGCUCAACCGUAGUAAGCUCUUGAAACUGGGAAACUUGAGUGCAGGAGAGGAAAGUGGAAUUCCUAGUGUAGCGGUGAAAUGCGUAGAUAUUAGGAGGAACACCAGUAGCGAAGGCGGCUUUCUGGACUGUAACUGACACUGAGGCACGAAAGCGUGGGGAGCAAACAGGAUUAGAUACCCUGGUAGUCCACGCCGUAAACGAUGAGUACUAGGUGUCGGGGGUUACCCCCCUCGGUGCCGCAGCUAACGCAUUAAGUACUCCGCCUGGGGAGUACGCUCGCAGGAGUGAAACUCAAAUGAAUUGACGG